GACGUAGGGGACGAGCGUUGUCCGGAAUCAUUGGGCGUAAAGCGCACGUAGGCGGUCCGGCAAGUCGGGUGUGAAAGCCCUCGGCUUAACCGAGGAAGUGCAUUCGAAACUACCGGACUUGAAUACUGGAGAGGGUCGCGGAAUUCCCGGUGUAGUGGUGAAAUGCGUAGAUAUCGGGAGGAACACCAGUGGCGAAGGCGACUUCCUGGCCUGUUCUUGACGCUGAGGCGCGAAAGCUAGGGUAGCAAACGGG
rnacentral:rRNA from 1 species